rnacentral:lncRNA from 1 species
GUGCAAGAUUACAAAAAGUGCCUGAGCCAAAAUUUGACUCCAGAGUUCAUGUACGUAAAACAAAAAGAGCUCCUAAAGACACAAAGCUUGCAGAUCUGUAAUUUGGCAGAAUAAUCAAAAUGCAGUAGAAAUUUUGUUCCUGAGAGAGUGGAGGGUAUGGUAAAUCCAAUCAGAAAUGCUUUAUCAUUUUUGUAGUUUUCUUCGAAUGACUCCAGAUCUUCCCAAAAGCAGCUUCCAAAGCACCUUUGCAUCUCUCCCACUGACAGGAUGGGCCUAAAGCCUCCUCUCAAGAAUAGCUCUGUCUUCAUACUUAUUCACAUCUGCAUGAGUUUCAACUCUGAGGCAAGUUCUUUGCAUAGAAAGGAUCACCUAAAAGCAGCCCCACAUCCUUCUAAACGGCAGAGUGUGAAGUGGUACCUGAGCUCCACCUACCGUGCUCCUUGAGGUUGUUUUAAAUCAGGGAGCCCAGCUGGCCCAGAACCCAGAUGGCUUUCCACUCCCCAUGUGGCAGCCAUCAGCUCUAAGACCCCAGCUCAGUGACCAGGCCAUCAAAGAGGCUGCCAAGAUCAGACAGGCUGUAUUCUCUCACAGCUUUUUACAGGAAGCAAAGGAGCUAAAGGGAAUAAUGACAGAGGUAGCCUGCAAACGUAACCAGAGACACGUGGGAAGAUUACCUUUCUCUGAUGUCUUGGGAUUGAACUGAGCUAUGUGGCUAGUUACAGGCCAAUAGGCUGUUAGCAGAUGUGACAUCUAACACAACUAGGCUGCAGUUUGAAAUAAAUACCAGUGCACAGCCUCCAGAAUUCCUCCCCUGCUAAGGUGACUGAGAAGACCUCAGCUGAGAUGGUGGGAAAAAAAAAUAUUCAAGCAGCUUGGAUAACGAAGUUCCUAAAUGGAAGAACAUUGUCCCAGAGAGUCACUUGAACCCAGAAUAGAUUUACGUGAUCAGACAAUAAACCUCUAUGACACCCUGAGUUUAUUUUGUUUUUUGAUUUUGUUACUGCAGCAUAACUCAACAUACCCUGACUGGUAUAGUCAUGGAGAUUAUCAUCAGGAUCUCCUAUGCUCCUGCAUAUGACACAGCCAGAGUUCUGCAGACAUUUAACUUUGGGCAUCUAAAUAUCAUAAAUGC